UCAUUAAUAUUCAUUCGAUAUAUCGCAAGAGUAACUGAGUAAGUGACGAUGCACCCCUGGCAUUGUGCCUAUCGGAGUGCAUAAUCAAAACAAAAACAAAAAACAGCUGAUUGGGAAUUGCAUUACAUGCAAAUUUUAUGCUGCUGAUUGCAUACGAAAUACAGGCGGGCGCAAUACUGUAGACAGCGGAAUUGCAUUAAGUGCAAGCUGACUAGCAGCUGCUACCAUACAAAGUGCAGAGGGGCGCGAAAAUGGAAAUGUCAGAAUUGCAUUAGUUGCAAGCUGACUAGCAGAGCACAUCGACUACGGCAAGGAGGCUUAGCCAAGUGGGCUGCACAGCCAAUAGGGCGCGUAUUUAAGUUAGUUUUAAGCAGGUUUAAAAUGUGAAUUUUAGGCGCAAGCGCCGUCACAUAUAUUCGCUGCACAUAUAUAUUUAUGUGCCGAAAAUAAAUUUUUGAAUUGUCAA
rnacentral:sRNA from 1 species